UCCAGGAAAAGCCUCUAAGCAUCAGGUAACACGAAAUCGUACCCCAAACCGACACAGGUGGUCAGGUAGAGAAUACCAAGGCGCUUGAGAGAACUCGGGUGAAGGAACUAGGCAAAAUGGUGCCGUAACUUCGGGAGAAGGCACGCUGACACGUAGGUGAAGUGAUUUACUCAUGGAGCUGAAGUCAGUCGAAGAUACCAGCUGGCUGCAACUGUUUAUUAAAAACACAGCACUGUGCAAACACGAAAGUGGACGUAUACGGUGUGACGCCUGCCCGGUGCCGGAAGGUUAAUUGAUGGGGUCAGCGUAAGCGAAGCUCCUGAUCGAAGCCCCGGUAAACGGCGGCCGUAACUAUAACGGUCCUAAGGUAGCGAAAUUCCUUGUCGGGUAAGUUCCGACCUGCACGAAUGGCGUAAUGAUGGCCAGGCUGUCUCCACCCGAGACUCAGUGAAAUUGAACUCGCUGUGAAGAUGCAGUGUACCCGCGGCAAGACGGAAAGACCCCGUGAACCUUUACUAUAGCUUGACACUGAACAUUGAGCCUUGAUGUGUAGGAUAGGUGGGAGGCUUUGAAGUGUGGACGCCAGUCUGCAUGGAGCCGACCUUGAAAUACCACCCUUUAAUGUUUGAUGUUCUAACGUGGACCCGUAAUCCGGGUUGCGGACAGUGUCUGGUGGGUAGUUUGACUGGGGCGGUCUCCUCCUAAAGAGUAACGGAGGAGCACGAAGGUUGGCUAAUCCUGGUCGGACAUCAGGAGGUUAGUGCAAUGGCAUAAGCCAGCUUGACUGCGAGCGUGACGGCGCGAGCAGGUGCGAAAGCAGGUCAUAGUGAUCCGGUGGUUCUGAAUGGAAGGGCCAUCGCUCAACGGAUAAAAGGUACUCCGGGGAUAACAGGCUGAUACCGCCCAAGAGUUCAUAUCGACGGCGGUGUUUGGCACCUCGAUGUCGGCUCAUCACAUCCUGGGGCUGAAGUAGGUCCCAAGGGUAUGGCUGUUCGCCAUUUAAAGUGGUACGCGAGCUGGGUUUAGAACGUCGUGAGACAGUUCGGUCCCUAUCUGCCGUGGGCGCUGGAGAACUGAGGGGGGCUGCUCCUAGUACGAGAGGACCGGAGUGGACGCAUCACUGGUGUUCGGGUUGUCAUGCCAAUGGCACUGCCCGGUAGCUAAAUGCGGAAGAGAUAAGUGCUGAAAGCAUCUAAGCACGAAACUUGCCCCGAGAUGAGUUCUCCCUGAGACUUAGAGUCUCCUGAAGGAACGUUGAAGACGACGACGUUGAUAGGCCGGGUGUGUAAGCGCAGCGAUGCGUUGAGCUAACCGGUACUAAUGAACCGUGAGGCUUAACCUU
rnacentral:rRNA from 1 species